GCUAAGACUGGAUAGGAAGAAAUAAGGCAUCUUUUUUCUUUUAAAAGACCUAGUGAUAGGUAUACUUUAGGAGGGGCUUGCGCCAUAUUAGUUAGUUGGUAGGGUAAUGGCCUACCAAGACGAUGAUGUGUAGCUGGACUGAGAGGUUGAACAGCCACAUUGGGACUGAGACACGGCCCAAACUCCUACGGGAGGCAGCAGUAGGGAAUUUUCGGCAAUGGAGGAAACUCUGACCGAGCAACGCCGCGUGAACGACGAAGUACUUUGGUAUGUAAAGUUCUUUUAUCAAGGAAGAAAAGCAAGUGGUGAACCAUUUGUUUGCCGGUACUUGAUGAAUAAGCCCCGGCUAAUUAUGUGCCAGCAGCCGCGGUAAGACAUAAGGGGCAAGUGUUAUCCGGAAUUAUUGGGCGUAAAGGGUGCGUAGGCGGUCUAGUAAGUCAGUGGUGUAAUGGCAACGCUCAACGUUGUCCGGCUAUUGAAACUGCUAAACUUGAGUUAGAUAGAGGCGAGUGGAAUUCCAUGUGUAGCGGUAAAAUGCGUAAAUAUAUGGAGGAACACCAGAGGCGUAGGCGGCUCGCUGGGUCUUAACUGACGCUGAGGCACGAAAGCGUGGGGAGCAAACAGGAUUAGAUACCCUGGUAUGUCCACGCCGUAAACGAUGAGUACUAAGUGUCGGGUUAAACCGGUACUGAAGUUAACACAUUAAGUACUCCGCCUGAGUAGUACGUACGCAAGUAUGAAACUUAAAGGAAUUGACGGGACUCCGCACAAGCGGUGGAUCAUGUUGUUUAAUUCGAAGAUACCCGAAAACCUUACCAGGUUCUUGACAUGUUUUUGCGAAACGGUAGUAAUAUCGUGGAGGUUAUCAGAAACACAGGUGGUGCAUGGUUGUCGUCAGCUCGUGUCGUGAAGAUGUUAGGUUAAGUCCUAAAACGAGCGAAACCCUUAUCGUUAGUUGCCAGCACGUUAUGGUGGGGACUUUAACGAGACUGCCAGUGAUAAAUUGGAGGAAGGUGAGGAUCACGUCAAAUCAGCAUGCCCCUUAUGACCUGGGCUACAAACGUGAUACAAUGGCUGUUACAAAGGGUAGCUGAAACGCAAGUUCUUGGCCAAUCCCCAAAAACAGUCUCAGUCCGGAUUGAAGUCUGCAACUCGACUUCAUGAAGUUGGAAUCGCUAGUAAUCGCGAAUCAGCAUGUCGCGGUGAAUACGUUCUCGGGGUUUGUACACACCGCCCGUCA
rnacentral:rRNA from 1 species